AUGUAUUCCCACAUUAUACUGGUGGGCGACCUAGAACUUAAAUGUAUUCCCGCAUUAUACUGGUGGGCGACCUAGAACUUAAAUGUAUUCCCGCAUUAUACUGGUGGGCGACCUAGUACUUAAAAGUAUUCCCGCAUUAUACUGGUGGGCGACCUAGAACUCAAAAGUAUUCCCGCAUUAUACUGGUGGGCGACCUAGAACUUAAAAGUAUUCCCGCAUUAUACUGGUGGGCGACCUAGAACUUAAAUGUAUUCCCGCAUUAUACUGUUGGGCGACCUAGAACUUAAAUGUAUUAAAAUUGCUUCCCCGUUCUUCCGAGAAAAUUUUCGACAAUCGGCAGAAAAUUUCUGCCCCGGUUUUGGUGACUUCCCUGGCGUUGCAUCUCGCUGUCAUCAUCAAUCCUUUGUUUUCCUGCAGCAGACAAAGG
rnacentral:lncRNA from 1 species